rnacentral:rRNA from 1 species
AGUGAACGCUGGCGGUAGGCCUAACACAUACAAGUCGAACGGCAGCACAGGAGAGCUUGCUCUCUGGGUGGCGAGUGGCAGACGGGUGAGGAAUACAUCGGAAUCUACUUUUUCGUGGGGGAUAACGUAGGGAAACUUACGCUAAUACCGCAUACGACCUACGGGUGAAAGCAGGGGACCUUCGGGCCUUGCGCGAUUGAAUGAGCCGAUGUCGGAUUAGCUAGUUGGCGGGGUAAAGGCCCACCAAGGCGACGAUCCGUAGCUGGUCUGAGGGGAUUAUCAGCCACACUGGAACUGAGACACGGUCCAGACUCCUACGGGAGGCAGCAGUGGGGAAUAUUGGACAAUGGGCGCAAGCCUGAGCCAGCCAUACCGCGUGGGUGAAGAAGGCCUUCGGGUUGUAAAGCCCUUUUGUUGGGAAAGAAAUCCAGCUGGCUAAUACCCGGUUGGGAUGACGGUACCCAAAGAAUAAGCACCGGCUAACUUCGUGCCAGCCGCCGCCGUAA